CAGAGGAGAACAGAGCCUAGUUCUUAGAGUCUCUUGGUCCCAGGCAGUUACCUACCCUGAACUGGAAAUUCAAGGUACUGGGUUUUCUCUAGGUACUGGGAACCCAGGGAUUUCUCCAUGUUGGGCAAGUCCUCUACCACUGAGCUACACCUCAGCCACAAACUUAUAUCAAGAAAAGAAAUCUACAUUAGUAAAAGUAGCUGUUUCAGAAAGAGGCGGCUCCAGACAACUUUUAUCAUCUGAGAGACUUUAUCGGCCACCCCUAGAAGGUUAACAAAGCCUUCCCCAAAAU